rnacentral:tRNA from 1 species
AGGUCAGUGGUGUAAUUGGCAACACAACAGUCUCCAAAACUGUAAGAUAUAGGUUCAAAUCCUUUCUGAUCUG